CAGUGGGGAAUUUUCCGCAAUGGGCGAAAGCCUGACGGAGCAAGACCGCGUGGGGGAAGAAGGCUCUUGGGUUGUAAACCCCUUUUCUCUGGGAAGAAAGUUGUGAAAGCAACCUGACGGUACCAGAGGAAUCAGCAUCGGCUAACUCCGUGCCAGCAGCCGCGGUAAGACGGAGGAUGCAAGCGUUAUCCGGAAUGAUUGGGCGUAAAGCGUCCGCAGGUGGCAGUUCAAGUCUGCUGUCAAAGACCGGGGCUUAACUUCGGAAAGGCAGUGGAAACUGAACAGCUAGAGUAUGGUAGGGGCAGAGGGAAUUCCUGGUGUAGCGGUGAAAUGCGUAGAGAUCAGGAAGAACAUCGGUGGCGAAGGCGCUCUGCUGGACCAUAACUGACACUCAGGGACGAAAGCUAGGGGAGCGAAUGGGAUUAGAUACCCCAGUAGUCCUAGCCGUAAACGAUGGAUACUAGGUGUUGUCUGUAUCGACCCGGACAGUGCC
rnacentral:rRNA from 1 species